rnacentral:rRNA from 1 species
UACGGAGGGUGCGAGCGUUGUCCGGAUUUAUUGGGUUUAAAGGGUGCGUAGGUGGUUUGAUAAGUCCGGGGUGAAAGCCCACAGCUCAACUGUGGAACUGCCCUGGAUACUGUCAGACUUGAGGGUAGACGAGGUUGGCGGAAUAGAAGGUGUAGCGGUGAAAUGCAUAGAUACCUUCUAGAACCCCGAUUGCGUAGGCAGCUGACUAGGCUACACCUGACACUGAGGCACGAAAGCGUGGGGAGCAAACAGG